ACCACUAUUUCCACUCUUCAUUGUGUCACCACACCCACUGUCACCAGAGUUUCCACUCCUCACCAUGUUGCCACAUCCACCGCCACAUCCACCGCCACAUCCACCACAACCACCACUAUUUCCACUCUUCAUUGUGUCACCACACCCACUGUCACCAGAGUUUCCACUCACCAUGUCCCCGCAUCCACUGCCACAACCACCACAACCACCACCACAGUUUCCACUCCUCACCAUGUCCCCGCAUCCACUGCCACAACCGCCACAACCGCCACCACAAUUUCCACUCCUCACUAUGCUUCCUUUAGCCACGUCCACAUUCAGCUCCAUGUUACCUUCUGAAGCAGCAGUCAGGCUGAUUUGCUCAGGUUCCUCAUGAAAGCCUUUGGCCUUUUCCACUAAACUAUCUACCUCCAGAUUUUCUCUGUUAGAAGUGAAGCCAUUAUAUCCUUCCUUCUUCAAAAUAUCAGAAAGUAUGAAGGCUGAUAUGAUUGCAGGUAACACCAACCAUGAUUCCUUUACCU
rnacentral:lncRNA from 1 species